GCCGGGGUGGCGAAAUCGGUAACCGCAGGGGACUUAAAAUCCCCCGGGGGUAACCCCUUCUGGGUUCGAAUCCCAGCCCCGGCA
rnacentral:tRNA from 1 species